AUUGAACGCUGGCGGCAUGCCUUACACAUGCAAGUCGAACGGUAACAGGUCUUCGGAUGCUGACGAGUGGCGAACGGGUGAGUAAUACAUCGGAACGUGCCCGAUCGUGGGGGAUAACGCAGCGAAAGCUGUGUUAAUACCGCAUACGAUCUACGGAUGAAAGCGGGGGAUCGCAAGACCUCGCGCGGACGGAGCGGCCGAUGGCAGAUUAGGUAGUUGGUGGGAUAAAAGCUUACCAAGCCGACGAUCUGUAGCUGGUCUGAGAGGACGACCAGCCACACUGGGACUGAGACACGGCCCAGACUCCUACGGGAGGCAGCAGUGGGGAAUUUUGGACAAUGGGCGCAAGCCUGAUCCAGCCAUGCCGCGUGCAGGAUGAAGGCCUUCGGGUUGUAAACUGCUUUUGUACGGAACGAAAAAGCUCUCUCUAAUACAGGGGGUGAAUGACGGUACCGUAAGAAUAAGCACCGGCUAACUACGUG
rnacentral:rRNA from 1 species